UGUGGGGGAUAACCAUUGGAAACGAUGGCUAAUACCGCAUAAUACCUACGGGUCAAAGAGGGGGACCUUCGGGCCUCUCGCGUCAGGAUAUGCCUAGGUGGGAUUAGCUAGUUGGUGAGGUAAUGGCUCACCAAGGCGACGAUCCCUAGCUGGUCUGAGAGGAUGAUCAGCCACACUGGAACUGAGACACGGUCCAGACUCCUACGGGAGGCAGCAGUGGGGAAUAUUGCACAAUGGGCGCAAGCCUGAUGCAGCCAUGCCGCGUGUGUGAAGAAGGCCUUCGGGUUGUAAAGCACUUUCAGUCGUGAGGAAGGUAGUGUAGUUAAUAGCUGCAUUAUUUGACGUUAGCGACAGAAGAAGCACCGGCUAACUCCGUGCCAGCAGCCGCGGUAAUACGGAGGGUGCGAGCGUUAAUCGGAAUUACUGGGCGUAAAGCGCAUGCAGGUGGUUUGUUAAGUCAGAUGUGAAAGCCCGGGGCUCAACCUCGGAAUAGCAUUUGAAACUGGCAGACUAGAGUACUGUAGAGGGGGGUAGAAUUUCAGGUGUAGCGGUGAAAUGCGUAGAGAUCUGAAGGAAUACCGGUGGCGAAGGCGGCCCCCUGGACAGAUACUGACACUCAGAUGCGAAAGCGUGGGGAGCAAACAGGAUUAGAUACCCUGGUAGUCCACGCCGUAAACGAUGUCUACUUGGAGGUUGUGGCCUUGAGCCGUGGCUUUCGGAGCUAACGCGUUAAGUAGACCGCCUGGGGAGUACGGUCGCAAGAUUAAAACUCAAAUGAAUUGACGGGGGCCCGCACAAGCGGUGGAGCAUGUGGUUUAAUUCGAUGCAACGCGAAGAACCUUACCUACUCUUGACAUCCAGAGAACUUUCCAGAGAUGGAUUGGUGCCUUCGGGAACUCUGAGACAGGUGCUGCAUGGCUGUCGUCAGCUCGUGUUGUGAAAUGUUGGGUUAAGUCCCGCAACGAGCGCAACCCUUAUCCUUGUUUGCCAGCACUUCGGGUGGGAACUCCAGGGAGACUGCCGGUGAUAAACCGGAGGAAGGUGGGGACGAUGUCAAGUCAUCAUGGCCCUUACGAGUAGGGCUACACACGUGCUACAAUGGCGCAUACAGAGGGCGGCCAACUUGCGAGAGUGAGCGAAUCCCAAAAAGUGCGUCGUAGUCCGGAUCGGAGUCUGCAACUCGACUCCGUGAAGUCGGAAUCGCUAGUAAUCGUGGAUCAGAAUGCCACGGUGAAUACGUUCCCGGGCCUUGUACACACCGCC
rnacentral:rRNA from 1 species